rnacentral:rRNA from 1 species
AUUUUUUCGCAAUGGGCGAAAGCCUGACGGAGCAACGCCGCGUGAGGGAGGAAGGCCUUAGGGUUGUAAACCUCUUUUCUCAAGGAAGAAGACCUGACGGUACUUGAGGAAUAAGCCUCGGCUAACUCCGUGCCAGCAGCCGCGGUAAGACGGAGGAGGCAAGCGUUAUCCGGAAUUAUUGGGCGUAAAGCGUCCGCAGGUGGUUUCACAAGUCUGCUGUUAAAGACUGGGGCUUAACUCCAGAGCGGCGGUGGAAACUGUGAGACUAGAGUGUGGUAGGGGCAGAGGGAAUUCCAGGUGUAGCGGUGAAAUGCGUAGAUAUCUGGAAGAACACCAGUGGCGAAGGUCGCUCUGCUGGGCCAUAACUGACA